GACGAACGCUGGCGGCGUGCCUAACACAUGCAAGUCGAGCGAAUGAAGUUCCUUCGGGAACGGAUUUAGCGGCGGACGGGUGAGUAACACGUGGGCAACCUGCCUCAUAGAGGGGAAUAGCCUUCCGAAAGGGAGAUUAAUACCGCAUAAGAUUGUAGUACCGCAUGGUACAGCAAUUAAAGGAGCAAUCCGCUAUGAGAUGGGCCCGCGGCGCAUUAGCUAGUUGGGGAGGUAACGGCUCACCAAGGCGACGAUGCGUAGCCGACCUGAGAGGGUGAUCGGCCACAUUGGGGCUGAGACACGGCCCAGACUCCUACGGGAGGCAGCAGUGGGGAAUAUUGCACAAUGGGGGAAACCCUGAUGCAGCAACGCCGCGUGGGUGAUGACGGCCUUCGGGUUGUAAAGCUCUGUCUUCAGGGACGAUAAUGACGGUACCUGAGGAGGAAGCCACGGCUAACUACGUGCCAGCAGCCGCCGUAAUAC
rnacentral:rRNA from 1 species